rnacentral:lncRNA from 1 species
AAGGAGAAGAGCACGAGGAAGGACGUAAGUUUUCAAGUAGGAUUGAGUUGCCCCAAGAAGAAUACAAGGCGAAUGAGAUAAAGGCGGAGAUGAAAAACGGCGUCUUAAAAGUGGUGGUUCCUAAGAUCAUACAGCUACACCUUAACAAUCCUCUCCACAUUAAGGUCGACUAGAGGUUUCCUCUACGUUUCUGCAAAAGUUCUUCAUUAUCUUUACUCUUUGCUACUUUCAACCUUCUAUUUGAAUUGUUGAAGCUUUCUCUCUCCUUUGGUUUAUUGAACUAUAUCCAGUUUCUUGG